GCGUGUUACCACACAUGGAGCGCCGAGACCGGUCUUGUAAUUCCAGCAGGUCGAGUAGGGAGGGGUGGGGAGACGAGGGGGCUGGACCGGGGGAGCCUCUCAUUAACAUUCUUACAUCAGGGCUCCUCCCCGCACCCUUUCCCUUCCCACCCCACCCCUGCCCCUACCCGAUUCCUCGCCAGCCCUCCUCCUUUUCCUUAAAGCCGCAGCCGCCCCUGUCUGCGCCGGCUGGGUUCCCCACCACGCCGCGCGCCUCCGCGAUCACCAGCUUUUCCCUGCUCGACACGCGGCAGCGCUCUCUCCAGCUUCCAGCCUUCGAAUAGGAAAUGUGUUUGAAAGUAAAGAAUGCGCGCGCGCGCGCACACACACACACACACACACACAAACACACACACACAAUCUCGAGCAAAAAAUAAUAAAAUAACCCACAGGAUUGGGGAAGAGGGUGGUUCUAGAAAUCGGUUGUUUGGGUGCAAAAUUCGUAGGUCCCGCUCGCUCUCACCUCUUACUCGGUCUGGCCACAUUCCUUCCUGACGCGCGGGCUCCUGACGGGCACCCUACCGUCUCCGUCCGGGCGAACAGAGUCCAAGGUCCCGGCGCAGGCAGCCAGAUUGCGGACCCGGGACAACCCGGCGCCCAGCUGGCCCAGGUGUGCCCCGCACCCUCCCUCCCCGGUCCUCCGCCAGCGCCGGUCCCCUCCCUCCCAGCUGCGAGGUUUCGCGCUGGAGUCGCAGCGGUGCGGGGCUCCCAGUGUCUCCGCGCACAGAUCCUCCGCCUGCGUUCAGCGAGCAGGGAAGCCAAACUUGUUGCUCUCAAAGGCGCGGCCGCGAGCGUGCGACUUGGCUUCUGAAGGCGGCCGAAAGCUUGAAACACAUCCCCUAGGCGUUCAGAACAGGCAAAUGAUGCCUAGAGUUCCGGCAGUCACUUUAGACCAUGAAAUGACCUUGAGGAUGGAAACGCCAUGCUAAGGAUGGUUUAGCAGAAAAAGAGGAAUCUGAGUUCCUGAUGACAGACCUUCAAACUUUUACAAAGACUCAGAGAGCCAUCAGAUAAGCCUUGAAACAUUCUUUAAAAGAUGAAGACAGUAGGACAGAGAAAAGAGAAGACAAAAACAUCCAAAAUGGUUAGAGAGGACUGAGCACCAGGGAUAUUCUCUCCUGCGUAUUGGAGGAAGAAGAAAGACAGUGGCCAUUUAUAGAAUAUGCAAGCUUUCUCCCAGUUCUUCAAUCCAACAUGAAUCUAGAUACUGCUAUGAAAGAAUUUUACAGAUAUGAUUAAAGCCCCUGAUCAGUUGACUUUAAGCUCAUCAAAAAGGAGAUUAUCCCAGGCUUCAAGUCUGUAACACACCUUCAAUUAGUACCAGCAAACUGUCAAGAAACAACAACUCAAAGGAUGAAAACAAAAAAAUUCUUCUGGAAUCUCCUCUUCACAUCAAUAAGGACAUCAAAAUGAACUCAACACUAACUUUGCUCCCAGCCUGGUCCCUACAGCAACCUGAGAUGAUUAUUUUGUUACAAAGGCAGGCUUAAUUUUCCUCAUCAAGGAAUUUGCAAAUUGAUCUCCUGAUUCUUUUCUAAGAUUUUUCCCCUAUGUGAAAGUCAAAACUAGAGGUGCCUAUAUUCUGAGGUCAAAUUUCUCCUCAACUCCAUCCUUAAUGGAACACAAUAUUUAUGGAUUUCAUAUUUCACCCAUGCAGGUGCCAGAAAGUUCUCAAAAUGUUAGCUAACAGUAUUGUAACAUCCUAGCUCAGUUCUCUCAUGGGAUAAUCACACCUCACAAAUUGGAAGGCUCAAAACCUAUUACAGUUGUCUUCCUUCCUAUCUUUCAGAUUAAUUUUCCUCUAUAUCAGUCAGUUGAUGGCAGGAAAUGGAAACCACUCAAGGUAUUUCAAACAGUAAGGACUUUAAUACAGAAAUAUAAAUGUUUUAAAAAUUAUUGGAAGUUGCUUUGUAUUAAUGUUAAACUCCCUUUAUAUCCCUACCAGUCUCUUUUCACACAAUUCUCAUCUUUCUUAUAGUUCACUUUUAUGCAAUCUUUUCAGGUGAAACAUCUGUCUGUAAAUUCCACCAGUAUUUACUUGUUCAGUAGACACUUACUGAGC